rnacentral:rRNA from 1 species
GAUGAACGCUGGCGGCGUGCCUAAUACAUGCAAGUCGAGCGGACGGACCCUAAGCUUGCGGCUUUGAUGUUAGCGGCGGGCGGGUGUGUAACGCGUGUAUAACCUACUUAUAUUUCGGGGAUAACUUCGGGACAGGGGAUCUUAUACCGUAGAAUCUUUUGAACCGUAGGGUUCAAAAGUGAGUGACGGCCUUGGUGGCUGGUAUCGCGGCUUCCGCGCUGGUUUGGCGAGUUGGUAAGGUGACGGCUUACCAAGGCUACGAGGCAUAGCCGAGCUGAGGGGAUGAUCGGCCACACUGGAACUGAGACACGGUCCAGACUCCUACGGGAGGCAGCAGUAGGGAAUCUUCGGCAGUGGGCGAGAGCCUGACGGAGCAACCCCGCGUGAGUGACGAAGGCCUCCGGAUCGUAAAGCCCUCUUAUUGGGGAAGAACAGCUGUGGAAGUAACCGUGGCGAUCUUGACGGUACCGAAUCAAAAAGCACCGGCUAACUACGUG